UACGUAGGGUGCGAGCGUUGUCCGGAAUUACUGGGCGUAAAGAGCUCGUAGGCGGUGUGUCGCGUCGGCCGUGAAAACCUGCAGCUUAACUGUGGGCUUGCGGUCGAUACGGGCAUCACUGGAGUUCGGCAGGGGAGACUGGAAUUCCUGGUGUAGCGGUGAAAUGCGCAGAUAUCAGGAGGAACACCGGUGGCGAAGGCGGGUCGCUGGAGCGGUACUGACGCUGAGGCGCGAAAGCGUGGGGAGCGAACAGG
rnacentral:rRNA from 1 species